AUUGAACGCUGGCGGCAGUCCUAACACAUGCAAGUCGAACGAGUGGCGGACGGGUGAGUAAUGUCUGGGAAACGGCCUGAUGGAGGGGGAUAACUACUGGAAACGGUAGCUAAUACCGCAUACCAUCGGAUGUGCACAGAUGUGAUUAGCUUGUUGUUGGGGUAACGGCUCACCAAGGCGACGAUCCCUAGCUGGUCUGAGAGGAUGACCAGACACACUGGAACUGAGACACGGUCCAGACUCCUACGUGAGGCAGCAGUGGGGAAUAUUGCACAAUGGGCGCAAGCCUGAUACAGCCAUGCCGCGUGUAUGAAGAAGGCCUUCGGGUUUUAAAGUACUUUCAGCGGGGAGGCGUUACCCGCAGAAGAAGCACCGGCUAACUCCGGUCCAGCAGCCGCGGUAAUAC
rnacentral:rRNA from 1 species